GUACGGGGGGAGCAAGCGUUGUUCGGAUUUACUGGGCGUAAAGGGCGCGUAGGCGGCCACCGCAAGUCAAUUGUGAAAUCUCCGGGCUUAACUCGGAAAGGUCAACUGAUACUGCGGGGCUAGAGUGCGGAAGGGGCAACUGGAAUUCUCGGUGUAGCGGUGAAAUGCGUAGAUAUCGAGAGGAACACCUGCGGCGAAGGCGGGUUGCUGGGCCGACACUGACGGCUGAGGCGCGAAAGCCAGGGGAGCGAACGGG
rnacentral:rRNA from 1 species